rnacentral:lncRNA from 1 species
CUUCCUAUAGUUCUGCAACUGCAUACCACAUGAGCAGUAUUCCUGGAACGGUCUGCCUUGGCUGGGGACUAUGGAUUUCCUGGGACAUAAGCAGAGAAGGAAGCAAAUAUAACAGGAACACAAGCUAUUGACACUUGAGACCUCAGCAGAAAUUUGAAACCAAUGUCUCCUAUUGGUAAUUCUGAGACCUGUCAUUCAUCUAUUCAUAAACUGUGUUUUCAUAUAUGGGAAG